UACGGGAGGGUGCAAGCGUUGUCCGGAAUCACUGGGCGUAAAGGGCGCGUAGGCGGCUCAUGAAGGCUGUGGUGAAAGUCCGGGGCUCAACCUCGGAUCGGCCGUGGCGACUCGUGGGCUGGAGCACUGUAGAGGCGGGUGGAUUCCGGGUGUAGCGGUGGAAUGCGUAGAGAUCCGGAAGAACACCAGUGGCGAAGGCGGCCCGCUGGGCAGUGGCUGAC
rnacentral:rRNA from 1 species